GACGUAGGGCGCGAGCGUUGUCCGGAUUUAUUGGGCGUAAAGAGCUCGUAGGCGGCUUGUCGCGUCGUUCGUGAAAACCUGCAGCUCAACUGCAGGCUUGCGGUCGAUACGGGCAGGCUGGAGUUCGGUAGGGGAGACUGGAAUUCCUGGUGUAGCGGUGAAAUGCGCAGAUAUCAGGAGGAACACCUGUGGUGUAGACAGCUUACUGGACGGUGACUGACGCUGAGGCACGAAAGCGUGGGUAGCAAACAGG
rnacentral:rRNA from 1 species